rnacentral:rRNA from 1 species
ACAGACUCCUACGGGAGGCAGCAGUGGGGGCUCUUGCACAAUGGGGGCCCCCCUGAUGCCGCGCCGCCGCGUGGGCGCCGAAGUAUUUCGGUCUGUAAAGCCCUCUCAGCAGGGCAGCCGCAAUGACGGUCCCUGAGUAAGAAGCACCGGCUAAAUACGUGCCAGCAGCCGCGGUAAUACGUAUGGUGCAAGCGUUAUCCGGAUUUACUGGGUGUAAAGGGAGCGCAGGCGGCACGGCAAGCCUGAUGUGAAAGCCCGCGGCCCAACCGCGGGACUGCAUUGGGAACUACCGGGCUGGAGUGCCGGAGAUGUAGGCGGAAUUCCUAGUGUAGCGGUGAAAUGCGUAGAUAUUAGGAGGAACACCAGUGGCGAAGGCGGCCUACUGGACGGUGACUGACGCUGAGGCUCGAAAGCGUGGGGAGCAAACAGGAUUAGAUACCCCAGUA